AGAAUCAACGCUGGCGGCGUGCCUAACACAUGCAAGUCGAACGAGAAAGUGGAGCAAUCCAUGAGUAAAGUGGCGACCGGGUGAGUAACACGUGACUAACCUACCUUCGAGUGGGGGAUAACCUCGGGAAACCGGGGCUAAUACCGCAUAACAUCUUUGAAGUAGAAAUUUCGGAGAUCAAAGGGGCAAUUCGCUUGAAGAGGGGGUCGCGGCUGAUUAGCUAGUUGGCGGGUAACGGCCCACCAAGGCUUAGAUCGGUA
rnacentral:rRNA from 1 species